AUUGAACGCUGGCGGCAUGCCUUACACAUGCAAGUCGAACGGUAACAGGUUAAGCUGACGAGUGGCGAACGGGAGAGUAAUGUAUCGGAACGUGGCCAGUCGUGGGGGAUAACUGCUCGAAAGAGCAGCUAAUACCGCAUACGACCUGAGGGGGAAAGCGGGGGAUCGCAAGGCCUCGCGCGAUUGGAUCGGCCGAUACCAGAUUCGGUAGUUGGGGAGGUAAAGGCUUACCAAGCCGAGAAUCGGUAGCUGGUCUGAGCGGAGGACCAGCCACACUGGGACUGAGACACGGCCCAGACUCCUACGGGAGGCAGCAGUGGGGAAUUGUGGACAAUGGGCGCAAGCCUGAUCCAGCCAUGCCGCGUGCGGGAAGAAGGCCUUCGGGUUGUAAACCGCUUUUGUCAGGGAAGAAAAGGUUCUGGCUAAUACCUGGGACUCAUGACGGUACCUGAAGAAUAAGCACCGGCUAACUACGUG
rnacentral:rRNA from 1 species